CAUGCCUCCAGCCCUCUGCCCCUACAUGCAAUUAGUUCGUCUUAUUUGAAAAAUAAAAUUAGUAUUUUUAUUGCUAUUAGAUGAUAAAACAUGAAUAAUAUUUUAUAUGUGACUAAAUAUUUUUAAAUUUUUCACAAAUUUUACAAAUAAGACGGACGGUCAAACGUUGGGCAUGGAUAUCCACGGCUGCACUUAUU
rfam:Oryza glumipatula chromosome 11, whole genome shotgun sequence.